AGAGUGAGGGGAUGGGAGAGUCCAAUGGCAUGUGGGGUUUUUGUUCCCUUCUCUCAUCACAAAAGUUUAUUUGAUGCUAUUCUCUUUCCAGGGAUUUGGCACAUGUCUUGGGCAAAGUUGCUAGACUUGUAGAUUUAAAAUGUCACAAAAGCAGGUGAGGUAAGGUGGAAUAGUCAAAAGAAAGAGGUGGGGUAGAAAAAAUAGCUAUGACUGUCGAAGAAAUCAGAGGAUUUAGACCUGAAAGAAGUCUUAGAAAUCAUUUAGUCCAGAGAAGAGGAAACAAAGACCCAGAGAAGUUGAGAACUAUAGAGGAAAAGGAGAAGGAAGGCAAGGCGAGAGAAGAAAUGAAUCACACCAUAUUUGAAGAUGGAAGACCUAGCUUCAUAUCUCAGCUCUACAGCUCACUACCUAUGUGACCAGAGGCAAAUCAUUUAACUGCUCUAGUCUCUUGAUUCCCUAAUUAUAUCAAAUAAAAGGGGUUGGAGCUGAUGUCUCUAAAUUCCU
rnacentral:lncRNA from 1 species